rnacentral:rRNA from 1 species
AGACCCGAAACCCGGUGAUCUAGCCAUGGGCAGGUUGAAGGUUGGGUAACACUAACUGGAGGACCGAACCGACUAAUGUUGAAAAAUUAGCGGAUGACCUGUGGCUGGGGGUGAAAGGCCAAUCAAACCGGGAGAUAGCUGGUUCUCCCCGAAAGCUAUUUAGGUAGCGCCUCGUGAAUUCAUCUCCGGGGGUAGAGCACUGUUUCGGCUAGGGGGCCAUCCCGGCUUACCAACCCGAUGCAAACUGCGAAUACCGGAGAAUGUUAUCACGGGAGACACACGGCGGGUGCUAACGUCCGUCGUGAAGAGGGAAACAACCCAGACCGCCAGCUAAGGUCCCAAAGUCAUGGUUAAGUGGGAAACGAUGUGGGAAGGCCCAGACAGCCAGGAUGUUGGCUUAGAAGCAGCCAUCAUUUAAAGAAAGCGUAAUAGCUCACUGGUCGAGUCGGCCUGCGCGGAAGAUGUAACGGGGCUAAACCAUGCACCGAAGCUGCGGCAGCGAACGUAUCACCCAAGACAACUUUACGGAGUUGACGAUUGACGGAGCGAAGCGACGUCAAAGCGUUCAUUAAAGUCGAGUUGGCUUAGGGAUACGUUCGUUGGGUAGGGGAGCGUUCUGUAAGCCUGUGAAGGUGUGUCGUGAGGCAUGCUGGAGGUAUCAGAAGUGCGAAUGCUGACAUAAGUAACGAUAA